rnacentral:lncRNA from 1 species
UGGGCCUGGCUCGCCUCGGGAGCCUCAGGACAGCAGGCAUGGUGAAUGGCGCUCCAAAAUCAGCAAUUAGAUGAUGGUGGUGAGGAGUUAUCGAGGAAAUCAUGGAGGAGGACCCUGACAAAUUACAGCGGCGCUGGAGGACCAGUCCUGAGUUACAGCCGCUGUGGCCUUUCACAUCAGAACUCUGCUCUCCUUACCAGGAAAUGAGAAAUGUGCUGUCAGGAGAAGGGCAGCUGCUGAUCUGUUACAGUGAGGACUCUUUAGAGUCCAGGUUUUCAGCUCCUCGGAGACACAGGCACUGCCCAGUGGUGCUGUUGGCGUCCACAGCGGGGCAUCCUCAUGCCCAGUCCGCCGGGAGACUUCUGCCUUUAUCUGUUUUACACACUGGAUGAACGCAUGGCCUCUCGAAGGGCUGGUUCUGUGUGUCUAAAAACCACUGCUGUGAAGGGUGACCAUUUCGGCAAGGAAGUGCUCUGUUGUGGAACAAUGGCCUCAUCUACUUACUCACGGACGUGGUGUGAGUGUAUUCUGAGCUGCACGGUGCGGACUCAUGUGGAAAGCGGCGUGAUGUCAUCCUCAGGAUCACCUUCCAGGUCAGAGGCAGGAGGUGUAUUCAGUUUAUGAAGUAGUCUGUGGGGCCUCUGAACAAGGCGGGGUCAGGGAAGGUGUUCCCCAGGAGGUGGUCCUGGGGCUGAGCCUUGAAGGAGG